rnacentral:rRNA from 1 species
AUACGGAGGAUGCGAGCGUUAUCCGGAUUUAUUGGGUUUAAAGGGUGCGUAGGCUGUGCGUUAAGUCAGGGGUGAAAUGCCGUCGCUCAACGACGGAGCUGCCCUUGAUACUGGCGUGCUGGAGUACGGAUGCCGUUGGAGGAAUGAGUGGUGUAGCGGUGAAAUGCUUAGAUAUCACUCAGAACACCGAUUGCGAAGGCAUCUGGCGAAUCCGUGACGGACGCUGAGGCACGAAAGCGUGGGGAUAGAACAGGAUUAGAUUCCCUGGUAUUCCACGCCGUAAACGAUGAUGACUAACCGUCGGCGAUAGACAGCCGGUGGCCAAGCGAAAGCGAUAAGUCAUCCACCUGGGGAGUACGUCGGCAACGAUGAAACUCAAAUGAAUUGACGGGG